GAUGAACGCUGGCGGCGUGCCUAAUACAUGCAAGUCGAGCGAACGGACGAGAAGCUUGCUUCUCUGAUGUUAGCGGCGGACGGGUGAGUAACACGUGGAUAACCUACCGAUAAGACUGGGAUAACUUCGGGAAACCGGAGCUAAUACCGUAUGAUAUGUUGAACCGCAUGGUUCAAAAGUGAAAGACGGUCUUGCUGUCACUUAUAGAUGGAUCCGCGCUGCAUUAGCUAGUUGGUAAGGUAACGGCUUACCAAGGCAACGAUGCAUAGCCGACCUGAGAGGGUGAUCGGCCACACUGGACCUGAGCACCGGUCCAGACUCCUCCGGGAGGAAGCAGUAGGGAAUCUUCCGCAAUGGGCGAAAGCCUGCCGGAGCACCGCCGCGUGAGUGAUGAAGGUCUUCGGAUCGUAAAACUCUGUUAUUAGGGAAGAACAUAUGUGUAAGUAACUGUGCACAUCUUGACGGUACCUAAUCAGAAAGCCACGGCUAACUACGUG
rnacentral:rRNA from 1 species